rnacentral:rRNA from 1 species
UACGGAGGGGGCGAGCGUUAUUCGGAAUUAUUGGGCGUAAAGGGCGCGUAGGCGGCCCUGCAAGUCAAAGGUGAAAUCCCUCGGCUCAACUGAGGAACUGCCUUUGAAACUGCGGGGCUUGAGGCCGGGAGGGGGUAGCGGAAUUCCCAGUGUAGCGGUGAAAUGCGUAGAUAUUGGGAGGAACACCAGUGGCGAAGGCGGCUACCUGGACCGGUUCUGACGCUGAUGCGCGAAAGCGUGGGUAGCAAACAGG